AUCCAGGCACAGGUGAAUACGACAGUUUUCUGAAGAGGGGGUGUACAAUUGUGCAGGAUGUGGGACUCCUCUUUACCGGUCUACAACUAAAUUUAAGUCCGGCUGCGGCUGGCCUGCUUUCUACGAGGGCCUUCCCGGAGCUAUAACCAGCACUCCGGAUCCAGAUGGGAUGAGGACGGAAAUCACUUGCACCGCAUGUGGUGGCCAUCUGGGUCACGUGUUCAAGGGCGAAGGGUUCCCGACACCGACCGAUGAGCGGCAUUGCGUCAAUAGUAUUUCACUGAAGUUCGUUCCUGCCAACUCUUAUCCUUCCCAGCGAACUUCUGCAGCUAGACUGGUCGGUCGAUCACCGGACGCGGCCUUCAACUGCUGCUGUUAUUUGAGAUUAUUUGCUUCUCAUUUCCACGCUAUGUACAAUAAGCCCUUCCCAUAAAUCUUCCUGAUCUGGAUCGAACUCAGAUAUUUGCUGCCGUCUCUUGAGUAAAUAAAAAUCGAAAUCUUUUUUCUUGUC